rnacentral:lncRNA from 1 species
AACCGAAACCUUGUACGUGGAUUUCCUCUGUAUUUCUCCAGGAACAGUGAAAUUGCUGGAAACCUCUGUAUCAUGUCUGCUGCUGCUGGUUUCCUCGGUGUCCAGUUUGUGGAAGAUGCCAUAAACAGGAGAUCUCGACGGUGCUUCGAUCUGCUCAGUAAGUAUAAUUUAAGGCCUUGUUGUUUUUCAACGUUUGUACUCUGUCAAUGUCAACGCUCACUCUUUCCUUUUUCUUUCAGGAGAAGUUAAACUGAUAUAAAAUGGCAAAAAAUGGUAGCCAAAGAAUCAAAGAAGUGAUCUGCUGUGCUCGGAUGACAGUGCGGUGCUGAAUGACAAUCCAUCUUCCCCACUACAGUGCAAACCAUCACGGCCGUAAGCAUCAAACGAGAAUUAAGCUCAGAGAGGAAGAGACUUCGUGCACCAGAAAAACUCGGUUCGAUAAGGAUUGUGGAUGUUGAAGGACGAGGUAAGUCGGAUCUCACAACCAUCUCCUCCCAGCAACCACCGUUUCUCCUGCUCUGUUUCCAUGAACCAUGAAACAGGAGCAGCUCAACUACCAAGAUUCAUGUGUGACAA